rnacentral:rRNA from 1 species
AGGAUCAUGGAGGUAGAGCACUAUUUGGACUAGGGGCCCGUCUUGGGUUACUGAAUUCAGAUAAACUCCGAAUGCCAUUGAUUCAUAUCCGGGAGUCAGACGAUGAGUGAUAAGAUCCACCGUCGAAAGGGGAACAGCCCAGACCAUCAGUUAAGGUCCCUAAAUGUAUGCUAAGUGGAAAAGGAUGUGGAGUUGCAUAGACAACUAGGAUGUUGGCUCAGAAGCAGCCACCAUUUAAAGAGUGCGUAAUAGCUCACUAGUCGAGUGAUCCUGCGCCGAAAAUGUACCGGGGCUAAGCAUACUACCGAAACCAUGGAUGCGACCAUUAGGUCGCGUGAUAGGAGAGCGUUCUAAGGGCGGUGAAGCAAGAUCGUGAGGACUUGUGGAGCGCUUAGAAGUGAGAAUGCCGGUAUGAGUAGCGAAAGAUAGGUGAGAAUCCUAUCCACCGAAUGACUAAGGUUUCCUGGGGAAGGCUCGUCCUCCCAGGGUUAGUCGGGACCUAAGUCGAGGCCGAGAGGCGUAGACGAUGGAUAACAGGUUGAGAUUCCUGUACUAGUUAAGUGCGUUUGAGCAAUGGAGGGACGCAGGAGGCUAAGAUGUGCAUUCUGUUGGAUUAGAAUGUCCAAGCAGUAAGUCUUGUGAAGAGUCAAAUGCUUUUCACUUUAAGGACAAGCUGUGAUG